ACCGAACAUCGUUGCGGUAGUGCUACUCUCCACCAGGAUGCGUGCGCGUUUCCGUCGAUUGUCUGCCAAGCUGGAACCGCUGGAACCACUGCAUUUUGAAAUGUCAAAAUCUGUCUGAUCUGAUUGUUUACGAUUCAAAGGAGGACGAGGAGGACCGAAAGUAAUUUUCUCACAGAACAAGGUCCAGUUUGAAGAUUAGGCAGCAAAUUUAAAAAAGUGAUUCUUACGAUGUUCAACGUGGUGCACUACUGCAGCUGCGAAAUUAAUUUUCCUGCUUGAAGUCCACGUCAGCACCUCCUACACGCUCCGCACGACGGAUCACCCGGCCAUGUUUAUGGAAGAAAUAGACUUAAGACCGUCACGGAAUGCAGCCAAACUCGUCCACGGAGUCAGGAUUGAAGGAAGUGGUCGUGGUGUAAUUUUCGAUUCUAGGCAUCGGUUCCACGUCAAUCAUUUGCUGAUCAUGUCUGGCACGUCCGGGUAAAUGGUCAGUGCUUGAGCCAGAAUGAGCAAGCAGUACUACGAGUAUUGGCCAAAUGUUGGAAUCCGGAACACGCCGGAACCUCUCCCCGUCAACGCCGUAACGGACCGCUGCCGGACCAGCUCAGCAAAGGGACGUUUGUUUUCCACCGGUAUGGAGAUAUUGAGGCGGCGGGGUGCAUACAUUGUUAAUAAAAAUAAAGAAAAAUAUGUUGA